rnacentral:rRNA from 1 species
UAUUGGACAAUGGGCGAAAGCCUGAUCCAGCCAUGCCGCGUGUGUGAAGAAGGUCUUCGGAUUGUAAAGCACUUUAAGUUGGGAGGAAGGGCAUUAACCUAAUACGUUAGUGUUUUGACGUUACCGACAGAAUAAGCACCGGCUAACUCCGUGCCAGCAGCCGCGGUAAUACAGAGGGUGCAAGCGUUAAUCGGAAUUACUGGGCGUAAAGCGCGCGUAGGUGGUUUGUUAAGUUGGAUGUGAAAUCCCCGGGCUCAACCUGGGAACUGCAUUCAAAACUGACUGACUAGAGUAUGGUAGAGGGUGGUGGAAUUUCCUGUGUAGCGGUGAAAUGCGUAGAUAUAGGAAGGAACACCAGUGGCGAAGGCGACCACCUGGACUAAUACUGACACUGAGUGCGAA